rnacentral:lncRNA from 1 species
AAUUUUCCAAUCACACGUUUCACUAAUUUUUAACAAGAUUACAAUGAGUACAACCCAAUCCUAGUAUACAAGUAUUAUCAAUCACUUAUGAUUUCUUACUCAACCUAACUAGACUAAGUUUAACCAAUCAUGAUAUCAACCUUAGACAAUUGUCUAGGCCGUUUAACUCAACUAAAUUAAACAAUACAAGUAUUUUUAUCCACUUUUGAAUAUACAAACACAACCAUUGUUUUGAGUACAAGUAUAAAUUCAAAUAACUCUCAAAAAGAGGAUAAAUUCCAUAAAAUGGAAUCUAAAAAAUUGUAAAGUUUUUUCUCUUAUAUGAAAGCUUUAGACGAUGUGAGCUUGUAGAGAACCAGAGUGAGAAUUCAAUAAUCUCUUCUAAAAAUAAAUCUUCUUUCUUCUCUUAUGCGAGUCCUCCUUAUGGAGCAUUCUUCAAGAGAUGAUCGUUACUCAAAGAGAGUUGACCUUUUGAGAGUAGGUGGCUUCUGGUACAAAGAUUUGUACUAUUCUACAUCUUGGGAAGAACAACAUUGCUUUAGUAGUGAACUUGUACGACUCUCACAAGACAUAAAGCUUUAAGGAAACAUUCUAGGAAUGUCUUCCUAUUUCUCAAUGACCUUCUGAUCCAUGUGCACAACUUUUGAAUAAAGCUUGGUGUUAUCAUUAUCUGCAUUGAAAAAGAGAGCAAAAGCAUACAAGAAAACGGAGGUACAAUACAUUUAUGCAUUUAAUGUUCUUUACGUUAAGAAAGCGUUUAGGCAUGAUUCGUAGUACAAACGUUUAGUGUGAAUAUGUGCUUUUUUGAAGUAGUAUUUCAUUUAUAAAGUAUUCAACUUUUACUACUACUUGUUCUAGACAUGUUUUUGUCAAUCUUUUAUAACUGACACGUCAUUGUUUAUCUUGCAUUUUUAUGACGAGAGUUGGGAUGUUAUGUUCGGGGAUUUGUUAUUUAUUUUAAAAGUUUUUCGAUUUAGCAUUUUUAUGUAAAAGUGUUAUUUUGAGAUUUCCAAACAACAUUUAUGGUUGUUUAGCUUCCCAUUUUUAAUCGAAUAAGAUUGUUAUCUUUCAUAAAUGUUUUAUCGAAAGGUUUUGAAAAAUAUUGCACCAUGACAUCUCAAAAAAUCAGGAUGUUAUACAAUACAAGUCUUCAUAACAAUUUUUUCGUAAUGAGAACUCUUGAAAUUUGAUUUUGACAUCAUCAAAACUUUUAUGGUUUUAUCAUUUUGCUAACUUAAAAUAGUCUUGAAGUUGCACCAUAAACCAGGGAAAGCAAAAAAGCAAAAUCCAAUCCCAUAACAUAAUAUAACCAGCGUUAGUUUUCAUUAAAGCAGUUGCACCAGCCCAAAAAAAACUACUUCCGGCAAACUUCUAGCCCAUUUGGUCACACACUUAAAAACAACCUACGAACCAGUUGACCGUGAAAAAUGGCUGCACCAAACCCAACUUUGCACCAGAUUUUUAUUCACACACAACCAGCAUAUUAACCAAACCAAAAUGCCACUUAGACAAAAUGCCUAAUCCAACCAAAACAGUCCAUUUAUACCAUUCAUGAAUCAAGCAUCAUAAACAGAUUUAAAAAACAUAUAUAUAUAUAUAUAUAUGAUCAACCAAAAAGCCUUAAAAUACAUCAUGCAGUUAACUAUUAAAUUACCACUCUAGUUUAGCAUUAUUCAACACAAACCAAAAUAUUUUUGACCUGAACAUUUCAGCACCAAUCAGUGUUUUAUUCCACUCUAAAGACCAAAAUUCCAGAAGCAAACAACCACUAAUCCACGUGAUUUCCAUUGCAGAGCUAUGUAGCUUCUUUUGGAGAAAAUUAUCAAUUAUCUAACCAGUAAAUUUAUCUUUGCAUGAAAAAAAGUUUUGUAUCAUCCACUCAUGCACAUACACAACAUUGCCUAAAACCAAGGUUCCUAAUCAGACCAAAACUAAUACUGCACUAGAGAAAAAAAAAUUCCAUACACCAAGCUGCAUGUUAAAACUAAUUUUCAUAAACCUUCAAUACACCAACCAAUAAUAAUGAAAACAAACACUGCUCUUAAAUUUCAAACCUAAGCAGGGGAAUUUAUGAGGUUAACUCAAAAUAAUAUGAAGAUAGGCAACAAAAUUCUGGAUGGAAUGUUCCAUAACCAGAAAGGUAAUAAGAAACAAUGGAGAAAUCAGUAUGGAAAUAAGCUGGUAAAAGCACCAAUAUUUUAUAUACACUAUAAAAGUAAUGUUCAACAAAGAUAAAUAGAUCAUAAGACAUAUUAAACAUCAUCACCUUCCUCUUCCGAGCACAUAUUGAUUGAUGGCCCUUAGAUGUUUUCCAAUAGCCUGGAAAUUAUAUGAAAAACCUACAAGUUAAUCUAUAUCACUUUUCUGAGUCAAUCUAUU